AGAGUUUGAUCAUGGCUCAGAGCGAACGUUGGCGGCGCGCUUAACACAUGCAAGUCGAACGCGAAUUGUCUUCGGACAUAGUAGAGUGGCGCACGGGUGAGUAACACGUGAGUAACCUACCCUUUGGAUCGGGAUAACAUUCCGAAAGGAGUGCUAAUACUGGAUAAGACCACGGCCCCUGCGGGGGCAGUGAGAAAACGAUGGGGAUCCGAAAGGACCUGUCGCCGAAGGAUGGGCUCGCGGCCUAUCAGCUUGUUGGUGAGGUAACGGCUCACCAAGGCGAAGACGGGUAGCUGGUCUGAGAGGAUGAUCAGCCACACUGGAACUGAGACACGGUCCAGACUCCUACGGGAGGCAGCAGUGGGGAAUUUUGCGCAAUGGGCGAAAGCCUGACGCAGCGACGCCGCGUGUGCGAUGAAGGCCUUUGGGUCGUAAAGCACUGUCGAGCGGGACGAAAACUCACGGGCUAAUACCGCGUGAGCUUGACGGUACCGCUAAAGGAAGCACCGGCUAACUCUGUGCCAGCAGCCGCGGUAAUACAGAGGGUGCGAACGUUGCUCGGAAUUAUUGGGCGUAAAGCGCGUGUAGGCGGCUUGUUAAGUCGGUUGUGAAAACCCAUGGCUCAACCAUGGAAGUGCGUCCGAAACUGGCAAGCUAGAGUCCUGACGAGGAUGGCGGAAUUCCCAGUGUAGAGGUGAAAUUCGUAGAUAUUGGGAGGAACACCGGUGGCGAAGGCGGCCAUCUGGGAAGGUACUGACGCUGAGACGCGAAAGCGUGGGGAGCAAACAGGAUUAGAUACCCUAGUAGUCC
rnacentral:rRNA from 1 species